AAGUCGUAACAAGGUUUCCGUAGGUGACCUGCGGAAGGAUCAUUGUCGAAGCCUGCCCAGCAGCACGACCCGCGAAUCGUUGUCAAAGCGUGUUGGGGAACGUGUAGGGUAUAAUGCCUUACACACUCUCCCAGCGCCCCUGUUCGAUGACGUCCGCAAUCGCGGUCUCAUCGCUCACAGGAACAACAUCCACCCCGACGCAGUACGCGUCAAGGAAAACAAAAGUGGGAGGAACGCUCAAAUGCUCCCGAACACGGACAGCAUCUGGGUGUUUCCGCCUGAAGUCGAAAAGAACGACUCUCGGCAACGGAUAUCUCGGCUCUCGCAUCGAUGAAGAACGUAGCAAAAUGCGAUACUUGGUGUGAAUUGCAGAAUCACGUGAACCAUCGAGUCUUUGAACGCAAGUUGCGCCCGAAGCCUUUUGGAUGAGGGCACGUCUGCCUGGGUGUCACACAACGUCGUCCCCAAACCCAAUACUCCCUUGUGAGGGAGACGUCGGGAGGGACGGAGACUGGUCUCCCGUGGCGACGCACCGCGGUUGGCCGAAUCUCGAGUCCGGGCACGAAAAGCCAUAACGACCGGUGGUUGAAAGAUCCUCGAUCGAUUUGUUAUGGUGUUUUCUGUGAUUGUAACCGGGCUUCGGACCCAUGCGCUCAGCGCUUUCAAUCGCGACCCCAGGUCAGGCGGGACUACCCGCUGAGUUUAA
rnacentral:rRNA from 1 species